CAGUAGCCACGGGAACACGUAGGGUGCGAGCGUUAAUCGGAUUUACUGGGCGUAAAGCGUGCGCAGGCGGCCCGUUAAGACAGGUGUGAAAUCCCUGGGCUCAACCUAGGAAUUGCGCUUGUGACUGGCGGGCUCGAGUACGGUAGAGGGGGGUGGAAUUCCUGGUGUAGCAGUGAAAUGCGUAGAGAUCAGGAGGAACACCGAUGGCGAAGGCAGCCCCCUGGGCCUGUACUGACGCUCAUGCACGAAAGCGUGGGGAGCAAACAGGAUUAGAUACCCCGGUAGUCCCUGUCUCUUAUAC
rnacentral:rRNA from 1 species